GAGACCAAAAUAGAGGCCUUUAUCUGAUGACUGAAGACUUGACCCUGGUGAAAAUGGACCACACACCCUUCUGCAUGACUGCCUACGUCAGACUUGUUCAGAGCCAGAAACUGAUCCACUGACGUCCAGAUCGGAAGACAACUAAUCCAAGGAUACAUUGAGCUGUGGCAGUCUGGGAGCUGGAAUCAAACCCACAACUUUCCAAUUACAGGACAGCCACUUUCGCCAUUGAUCCCAGAAGUCAAUAUAUGCCACCAGUCUGUGCAUGUGGGUGUGAGCCGUGUGUGUGCGUGUAGACCAAUCAGUGAAAGCUGUGGACAGCUCGGUGCACUAUGCUUGGGGGCAGCCAUCUGUCAGCUGACGCUUGGUCGACACAGCAAUCAGAACGCUCUGCAGCGGGUCCAAUCUGUUCCACCACAGGUAAAAACCCAAGCAAACCAGCAGGCAGCUUGACAAAGGCAAUGGCCUGGCAGAGAGCAAAAGAAGC